GUACAAAAUUCCUACCUAGGCUUUGGGCAGAAGGUAGCGAGCGACUCCAGUGUCUGCUGGCUAUGGUGUUCACCUGGAGGCGAGGCGGCAUCUCCUCCUUUUGUUCGGGGCGAUGACGGACCCAACGGCCACUCGAACACCAUGAUACAACAGUGCCAUCUUGCUUGCUUGUUUUCAAGUCGGUAUUAGCCAGAUUCAGCUGCAGCUUAACAAGACAACACAAUAACAAACCUCAAAUGAAGCCCAGAGAACUUUUACUCACUGACCAGCCAUGCCAAAUCACCAGCGUAGCAAGUUACGGAUCCACCUAAAACUCACAAACACAUAACCACGUCUUACCCAAACCGUGGGUAAUUGAUUCACCUGUGACACUUAGAGUUUUACUUCAUUUUUUCAAAUUACCCCAACAUGAAGUAAUGACACAGGCAACCAAAUCUAUGACUAUAACUAUCAAGAGAUCAACAGCAGAAAUAAAAGCUAUUAUCACCCAGUCCUACUAAAAGUUGCUGAGAUCUUUUCUAGUCUUCAUCAGAAGGAACCCUGUGAGCAGCAGCACCGUGCAUCUGAAAAUAAAACCACCCAUGUCCUCUAGUUGCGUUUGGCAUUUCUAUUUCAAAAGCAAAAAUACACAUUGCAUUUUGAAAUAGUUUGGAAUGGCACACGUUAAAAAUUCACAGCUAAAUCCGUUAAUAUUUAGCGACAAAUUAAUGCUUUAUAAGAAACCUUUUCAUGCAGCGUUGUCUUCGAAUUAAAAACGAUCAAAGCUGAAUGUACAAACUCCAAGGAUACAAGUUAAUGGCUACGGCUCUGUGGAACCAAUUCUGACAGUUUACCCUUACCAUGUAAUACAGUAUAUAUCUUUAAGCCACAUUUGAAUUUUCAAUGUGUCAGUGGAUCAAUAAAACAAUAUAAAACUUGAAA